ACGCUCGACACCUACGGAGGCAGCAGUAGGGAAUCUUCCACAAUGGACGCAAGUCUGAUGGAGCAACGCCGCGUGAGUGAAGAAGGUCUUCGGAUCGUAAAACUCUGUUGUUAGAGAAGAACACGAGUGAGAGUAACUGUUCAUUCGAUGACGGUAUCUAACCAGCAAGUCACGGCUAACUACGUACCAGCAGCCGCGGUAAUCUGAGCGGGCUGGCAAGGC
rnacentral:rRNA from 1 species